GAAGACACAAAAGAGAAGAAUUUAAUUCUAAAUGAAGUUGGUAGGAAAAGAGACUUGAAGAGGUCCGUAGAGAAGGAGAAGGAAGAUAUCAGGAACAAAAUUGCGAGACAUUUGAGGGACAUACAUUCUCCUACCAAACUUCAAGUCAUUAAAAAUAUUUUAGCUCCGCUUUCACCUACACUCGCAGCUGUAGAUUCUAAUAAUUCCGUACCUUCUAAAGGUAGAAUUCCACAUUAUAUGAAAAUUGUUCCACAGAGAUCACUGUUUUCAACCAGAAAUGAAAAAUCAAAGAAAAAAAAUCAUUCUCCUUAAUCUGUGUAGAAUACAGUACCUGUUUCAAUAAACUAUUUAAAAUUU